rnacentral:rRNA from 1 species
AAUCAACGCUGGCGGCGCGCUUAACACAUGCAAGUCGCACGAGAAAGCAGUAGCAAUAUUGUGAGUAAAGUGGCGUACGGGUGAGUAACACGUGGAUCAUCUACCUUUUAGUGGGGAAUACCUCCUGGAAACGGGAGACAAUACCGCAUAAGCUCGUAAGAGGAAAGCAGCAAUGCGCUGAAAGAGGAGUCCGCGGCCGAUUAGCUAGUUGGCGGGGUAACGGCCCACCAAGGCGAAGAUCGGUAGCCGGCCUGAGAGGGCUCACGGCCA